ACUCAAGUCGGCUGUGACAUCAAGAUCAGGCUCAUGAUCAGCUGUUCUCCGUCCCGGCCGCCGCCAUGGCCUACUAUUUCGACAUGGACAAAAUUUUCAAGGCCCUGCUGAUCAUGAGGGACCACGGGGGCGUCAGGGCGUCAGGGCGUCCCUCUAAAAGCUGUACAGAUGUGCAGUUUAUGGUAGCCUGAGCGCCUGCCAACCCGUUCACAGUGACAGCCUUCAAUAAGACUUAAGAAGCUGUAUUGCCGAGGACCAUAUCUGACUCCAGCGGCUCAGAUGAGGAGGCGUCACGGUUCAGGGAGGCGUGUGACCCCACCCUUUGGAGGACGGCCGUGCAGGGAGCCACCAAGAAUGGAACCUGCAGAGUGGGGGUGUCUGACAAGGAGCCCGAGCGCCCCAGCCAAGGCGACCAUGCUGCCGGGGAAGAUACGCAGCACCCUUGCCGAGCCGCAGGGUAAGGCCGGAGUGUGGAGUAUCAGGGUGACCAAGGAUGGCAGUGGUGAUGGCCAGCUCCUCCAUCAGCCCCUCCACCUCCUGACCAACUCGCCGUUCCCCCGUCAAGGCAGCAAUGACCUCACACACACAGCAGCCAGGGGGAGGAGGCCGGACAGAAUUCACAAGAGACUUUCCUAGUUUGACGGUUGUGAUGUGGAGAGGCUGAAGGCGCAGUGCAGGGCUGUGAUGAUGCCCUCAAGAGUGGAUUCUGUCCGGGCAGGCAGCGCACCUCAGACCACACCUCAAGAACGUCAGGUAUUUGGCGGAGUACAAAUCGCAGGAACGGCGCACUGACGGAACCCUUGUAGCUGUACCGUGCUCUCUACCAGACAACACCACCACCACCACCACCACAGGGAAGAAGAAGAAAAAGAAGAGCUUGGCGUGUGUGUCUCAGGCUGGGAAGGGGGAAAGCAAUUUGUCACACUGGGAAGAAACACACAAUAGCCUUCGGAAUGGUGGGGUCAGUGAGGGUUCAAGCACAAAGAGAAGGUCAGGAGAGGUGUGUGUGUCAGGCUGGGGAGGAAGAUGAAGGAACUGUACAGAGGAAUCACUCAAUAGCCCUCAGAAUGGUGUUGUCAGUGAGGGUUCAAGCACAAAGAGAAGGAGAGGAGAGGUGUGUGAGUCUCAGGCUGGGGAGGAAGAUGAAGGAACUGUACAGAGGAAU